GACGAACGCUGGCGGCGUGCUUAACACAUGCAAGUCGAACGGAAAGGCCCUGCUUUUGUGGGGUGCUCGAUUGGCGAACGGGUGAGUAACACGUGAGUAACCUGCCCUUUACUUUGGGAUAACUUCAGGAAACUGGGGCUAAUACCGGAUAGGAUCUCCUGCUGCAUGGUGGGGGUUGGAAAGUUUCGGCGGUUGGGGAUGGACUCGCGGCUUAUCAGCUUGUUGGUGGGGUAGUGGCUUACCAAGGCUUUGACGGGUAGCCGGCAUGAGAGGGUGACCGGCAACAUUGGGACUGAGAUACGGCACAGAAUCCAACGGGAGGCAGCAGUGGGGAAUAUUGCACAAUGGGCGGAAGCCUGAUGCAGAAACGCAGCGUGCGGGAUGACGGCCUUCGGGUUGUAAAACGCUUUCGCAUGUGACGAAGCGUGAGUGACGGUAAUGGGUAAAGAAGCACCGGCUAACUACGUG
rnacentral:rRNA from 1 species